CAUUCUCCAGUGUCCUUAAACGCACCCUUGAGUCACGUAGUUACGUGCGCACGCACGCUGAGCACCUUGCGAGCCUGUUAGCCAAUCGCGUUCCUGUAGUCCUCUUCAAUUGUGUGUCCUGCUCGGUUGGCAGACAGGCAAGGGGAGACGGGCUGCAGGGACGGCUGCAACAGAAGUUUGAUACCAACUGCGUGCUGAUGCUGGGUACUCGCUGUGUGACUGUCUAGGAGUGGAAUUGGCCAGGUGUGCCCUGCUUGGUGCCACCACCCGACGGCGAGCUAAGCCCAAGAAGGAGCCUCGAACACCAUCCUCACACAGCAACAGCACUCCUGUGGUUCGACAUGCCUCGUAAGGAGAGGAGGUGGAAGCAAAAACAAAAGGAGCGGCGUGAGGCUGCUAAAGGUAGUGGAUCCCUCACCAGCUGGGUGAAGAGCACAACAGCAGUCAGCCUUGGCUGCAGCCUCUCUCAGCAACCAGUCUUCUGCAAACCAUCAGCACUACAGUAGUCUCAGAUCAACACAGCCCUCCAACACUUCAAGCAGCAGCAGCCCCAGCAACCCCUCAACAGCAACUGUACCCCAUCAGCACCUGCCCCUCCAAAGGUCUCUGCACGGCCCCGGUCCUCUCCUUUUCAUCCUUUACAUCCUCCCACUUGGUAACAUCAUCCGCUGAUAUGGCCUCCAUUUCCACUGCUAUGCCGUCGAUGUCCAGAUCUACAUCGCCACUAAAUCCAUCACUACAGCUAUCUGCUCCACACUUGAUAAUUGCCUCACUGAACUAAAAUCCUGGAUGCAAACUAACUUUCUACAACUCAACUGUGACAAAUCAGACAUGAUCAUAAUCGGCCCCAGUUCCCUUACUAAAACCAUCCAUAAUUUCAGCCUUAAUGUUUCAAAUUCUACACUUUCUCCAUCUCCACAUCUACACAACCUCAGAGUCACUUUCGACAGCAACCUUUCAUUUGAACUGCAUGGUAAUCGUAUCACCAAAACCACUUUCUUCCAUCUAAAAAACAUAGCUCAGCUCUGCUCCUCACUCACCUUCUCCACUGCAGAAACUCUGAUUCACACAUUCAUCACAUCCAGACUCGACUACUGCAAUAGCAUUCUGUAUGGUUCAUCCUCUAAAGUCCUCAAUAAACUACAGUAGGCCUACAUCCAGAACUCUGCUGCCUGUAUCCUCACCCAGUCCCGCUCCUCCGUCCUUCAGAACCUCCACUGGCUCCCAAGUCCUCAACGCAUUCAGUUCAAAGUAAUGCUGCACGAUUUGAUAAAAAUGUGCGAUUGCGAUUUGAGUGAACAAUAUCACGAUUUGCGAUUGCGAUUUCAAUAUAAUAAAAAAAAAAUGGUAUCAUUAGUCUUCUUGCUUGAUUCAGUGUUUCCCCUACAUUAUAUUAGGGGGCACUGACCUGACCUGACACACUGACCUAACCUGACCUGACAUAAUUAUUGUUAAGGACAGUGUAAAUGACCAUCAACAGACAGAGCACAGUCAAUCACCCUGCUUGCACAGCAGCGCAGCCCAGCACUGGACACACAGCGGAGCGAGCCUGUGUUGCAUUCAGGCGUUGUCACAUAAAUGACAAAUUCCAGAACAUGAAUAGCACAACACAGCAGCAUGUCAAGUGGGCCGAAACCGAGCAAAAUUGCUCAGUUUUUCAUUUGUUAUCAUAUAGUUUGUUAUGGAGUCCAUGAUUUCCCUGUGACACUUACAAAUGUUUGCGUAACUGUGCUUGGAUGUUGUUGUAUGAGGUUCUGGCGACUUUUAGUUGUCCCUUUGUCUUUAAAAUUUCUCUCAUAUGCAUUCUCCCUACUUUUCUCUGUGCUGUCUCAAGUGUUGACAUAGAUUGGUCGUGUUGCCGCGGGAGGUGCCAACUUUAACGUUUAAACUUUUACACAGCACAUCUUUCUGUUCAACGUCACCGUACCUGAAUCCAAAGUAUCGCCAUAUAAUAGACAUUGGGGUCUUUUCGCCACCAACUCAGCCUGUUCUUGGUUGUGCUCAUGCUCUUCUUCUGUGUCUGUGUUUGUCACUGCUGCACGCCGGGUGGUCACCUGACCAUAAGUGCUGCACACACCAGGAUAGCUUGUGGGCGUGAUGUCAACAAACUCCACACACUACAGGAUAGUGAUGGGCAAAGUAGUUUUUUAGACGUUACUGAAUCACUAGAAUCAGUUCAUUAAAAAGAUUCAUUCAAAAGAUUCGUUCAAACGAUUCGUUCACCUGACUGCCCUGACUGUGUACCGCGUAGUCCGACUCAGUCUCUCUUCGUUGCUGCUGCUGCUGCGUCUGCCCUGCACUGGUGAGUCUCAUUACUGGCUAGCCUAAUGUUUUAAGUUUGUUUAUCUGGAAACUAAGUCUGUUAAAACACUGGGGAGGUGUGUGAUUGUGUUCAUGUGGCUUGACUCCUGGCUACAUUAGCCAUUAGCUUGGAGAAAACAGUCCCUAUGAAAGUGUAUCACUGAGAAGAAAUGAUUUGAAUCACUCAGGAAUCAAGGUUACAUCGUUCACUGAGUGAUUCGUUCACCGAGUGAUUCGUCAUGCGGUAAGCAGUCCCUCCCUGCACCCUGGCUGCCUCGUGACUCGUGAGUGAUUCAUCGUACACACGGACCGAAUCAGCAGUUCCACUCCCGGCCUGCAUGCUCGCUGCUGAGCUCAACUGAACUGAGAAAUGAACGAAUCAGUUCUGGAAGUGAUUCAGUUCAGUACGUUCACUCAACAGAUUCGUUCUUUUGAACAAUUCCUCGCAAAUGACACAACAGUACUACAGGACAGGUAGUCAUGUUCACAGGCAAAUACGUUAACAUUUAUUUACAUUAAAUUGCAAAUCGCAGCCUUUUAUGCGGUUAUGUAUUUGCACAGCCUGACAUCGUGAUUGCGAUUGAACUAGUGCUGCGCGAGUAAUCUAAUCGCAAAGUCCUCCUCCUCACCUUCAAAGCCCUCCAUAACCUGGCCCAAUUUUACCUCACUGACCUGUUGCAUCGUCACAUCCCCUCCCGCAGUCUCCGCUCCUCUGAUGCAAAU